GUCCUUUUGGCUUAAUGAUAAAGCGUGUCACUAGCGAUUCAGUGUUAGGUAUGAUACGAUCGCUAAUUCGAUUCUGGUAGAAGGCA